rnacentral:lncRNA from 1 species
UCCCUCCGCAGCCCCCAUCUCUCCUCCCACGCGACUCCUCGCCGCCGCCCCAUGAUUCCGAGGACUUUUGGCGGCUAUGGCCGGCGCGCGGCCUACCUCCAUCUUCCCCUCUCUCCGCUCCUUCCUCCCCUCCGGCUAGAUUCACCACUAGCGCUCUCCAGCAACCCAUCCCCGUGGCAAGGGUUUCGGCGCCUGCGCGGCUCCGGCCGAUCCUCUUCGUCGCCUGCCACCUGCUGGAUGGUGCUCCUCGAAUAGGGCCAUGCGAGGCUGACCUCCCGCAGGAUGUCCUGAUGGGCGCACCCUUCAGCGGCAUGUUCGGGAUGAGCGCGGGCCUGACGGCCUUGUCCGCCGCUCGACGAUGGCGGCGGCGAACGCCAGUGCUCCUCGUCCCUGAACCAGUCCACCCAUCCGGCGAUGUACAGCUUGUCGUCAUGCGCGUGUACGUGGUGGGCUUCCUCUCUCUCCCCCCUCUACCCCAAAUCUGGAUGGCACUUGCAUCUGUUACAUAUAUAAAUAUGAAUAAACACCACGGUUUGGUAUGCGUCUAGAUCGGGAUGGUACCUGUAGUAAACGGUCGCUCCCCAUCUGUAUGCGUCCAUGAGUCUGCACACGGUAGCUCCUUGGCUUUUAUUUUGAACAAAACUCCUCUCUAAUCUUCCUGUACUCCAUGUCUGUGGUUGCUGUCAUGUACUCGAUGCCUUUCUUGUUUCAUCAAAAUUCCAAUACCUGAAAGUGGUAGUCGUGGUCCUGUUUACAUGGCUUUUUCUGAUUUAGUUUCAAUCAAGUUUAUGUGAAAUAUAAUCUUCUUUUAUCUGAUACUUUGGUCUGAAUAUUUACAUUCUAAUUACCAUGUACGUACUAGUGCAGUAUCCAGAUAUUUUGUUGGUGUUAUCUUCCAAAAUAAUAGUAAAUGCAGUCUUCAGAUAGAAGUAAAAGUUUUAUGUCUGCAAACAGAGUUGUACAUGUAAACUUAGUUACCACAAGUGUUGUAGAUGAUUGCUUGGAAUCAUAAAGAUCUCAAAUAAACAUACAAAAAAAAGAUUCUUAACACAAAUUAAUAUAGACUCAUCAAAUAUAUAUACUUUGUUCGUGGUCAACUUGUGAUGCCAAAUAAUGUUCAGUAUAAUAGCAACCUACAAGCAACAGUUUACAGUUCUAUGAUCAUUUCCCUCCUGCAGUUCUAAUAUCAUGCGAACAUACAUUGCUUUAUGCAAGAGAAAGAAGUAUGUGUACUUUAGAAAGUAAAAUGUUGAAGAAAUAUAUAAAAAAGAUGUUGCAUGGCUGCUGUUUAGGUCACUUCUUUAUAGGUUAUAAUCUCUGAAAAUCCACAAAUUAUACGGUUGGUUCAUAACUGCUAUUCAGGUCACUUCUUUAUAGGUUAAUACUUGCUUCAUCCAUUUAUGAAUGUGCAGGAAGGACUGUAGAACAGAGAACGGGUUGAUUGUAGAACAGAGAAGGGGUUCAUCAUGCCGUUUGGGUUGGUUUGGGCUAGCUCCGGUGACGGUGUUGUCGGCCUCAGCCACAAAUGUUGAAGGUAUCCCCCUCCCUUCUUCCCUUUGCUCUUGUCAUGUGUUCAUUUUGUUUGCUUUCCGCAGGAUACUAUCCCAUCUUGUUGGCAAACAAGCUCAUUUCAUUUGCUUUGCACAUAUGUGAGUUAAGUAUGUUUAUACCAUAUAAAGUGAGCUAACCAAAGAUCGUUCCCUUAUCUGGUAGAGAGACUCGGCUGCGUUGUUGUAGCAGAAAACAAGAUAUUAAAAUGAUAAUCAUUAGUGCCAUUUUUAUUACCUUCUCCAAGCAAAAUCUUGGUAGCAAAUUAACUAGAUUGUUUGCUUCUAGUCAUGGAAACUAAAUAAAUUUUAUGGUUCUCAUUUUUCUUAGUAGAGGGGUUGUCCUUUCCCACAUAAUGACAUACCUCAAUAGAUUUUUAGAAUGCUCUGGGAGCUAGAAAGCGCUGUUACAUUCAGACCUCUGACACGGUCACUCCAUUGAGUUGUGAUAAAUUUAUUUCACCAAGUUGUCGUUCCAAUCUACAGUUUGUGAAAUUGGAUGUUUGAUAUUUGUGAAAAUUAGAACUCAUGAUCCAUGGUUAGUAAUAUGUAUAUUAUUUGUGGACCUGGAACUUUCAGGACAUUUAUCCAUACUGGUUGUUUCUGCGAGAGUAGACAAUAUGCAUGUUUAGGACAUGAUGUGAAGCUCGCAUCUGAUCAUCAAACUAAGAUAACUUGAUUUGAAUCAUUGAAGAUAGUUUUGUAAGGGCUUCUUAGUAAAUCGUUUUCUAGGACAGUACCUACCAAGCCCAGAACCAUGCUAUUUGUUGUGAUAGUUUUCCCUGAUCUAUAAGAUUUUUGUUCCUCCCUGAUGUUUUCCUUCCUAAUCCAUUUCCCUUGAUGCUUAUGAUGUUCUUAAUCUGUAGGUAUUGCAUUACAUUGAAUUUGAUGGAGAGCAACUUCUCAAGAAAACUGAAAGAAUGAGCUGUGAGGUGGAACCAAGGGGCUUUAAGAAACUUUUAUGUGUUGUUGAUGUAAACUGGAGUGUGCUAGUUCCUAACUUUGAUUUGUUUUGUAUUUUGUCAACUGAUGUUGUAAAUUAUCAUUUCAUUGAGGAUUUUGUAAAUUGAUGUAUUGUAUAUACCGGUUGAUGCUUGUAUAAAUGCUACAUGAUCUGUGUAUUAUAUGUCAUUUUGGAAAUAUUGUCCUGGGUCGAAGUUGACAUUAUGAUCAGUGUAAUGCAUAAUGCUAAAAAAAGUGAUGUC